rnacentral:rRNA from 1 species
UACGAAGGGGGCUAGCGUUGUUCGGAAUUACUGGGCGUAAAGGGCGCGUAGGCGGCCGACUAAGUUAGGCGUGAAAGCCCAGGGCUCAACUCUGGAAUUGCGCUUAAUACUGGUUGGCUUGAGUACGGGAGAGGAUAGUGGAAUUCCCAGUGUAGAGGUGAAAUUCGUAGAUAUUGGGAAGAACACCAGUGGCGAAGGCGGCUAUCUGGACCGUAACUGACGCUGAGGCGCGAAAGCGUGGGGAGCAAACAGG